GUGCUCUCAUUGGCUGCUCAUAUUCUAGAACUGGAAUGAUACAGAGAAGAUUAGCACAGCCCCUGUGCAAGGAUGACAUGCAAAUUCGUUAAGUGUUCCAUAUUUCU